AGAAUCCUGAUGUGUUCGUUUUAAGCCAAUCAGUUUUGACCGAACACUUCAUCGUCGGGAGACCUACUUUUACCAUGGAUGGCAUGCCUUCAUCGGACGUCAAAAGUGGUAAAGGGGUCACCCACCUGCUUAUAGUGCGGGUUCAAAACGAUGUGCAUUAACAAGGACGGCACGAUCGGGAUUCUU
rnacentral:other from 1 species